ACGAGUAUAGUUAAGUUGGUAUAGCUUCUAUCUUCCAAAUAGAGAUCAUCAGUUCGAAUCUGAUUACUCGUA
rnacentral:tRNA from 5 species